rnacentral:rRNA from 1 species
AGAGUUUGAUCAUGGCUCAGAAUCAACGCUGGCGGCGCGCUUAACACAUGCAAGUCGAACGAGAAAGUGGAGCAAUCCAUGAGUAAAGUGGCGUACGGGUGAGUAACACGUGGGUAAUCUGCCUCUGGGUGGGGAAUAACUCUGGGAAACCGGAGCUAAUACCGCAUGAGCCCGCAAGGGGAAAGGCGAAAGUCGCCGAGAGAGGAGCCCGCGGCUGAUUAGCUUGUUGGUGGGGUAAAGGCUCACCAAGGCAGAGAUCGGUAGCCGGCCUGAGAGGGCACACGGCCACACUGGCACUGAAACACGGGCCAGACUCCUACGGGAGGCAGCAGUGGGGAAUCUUGCACAAUGGGGGAAACCCUGAUGCAGCGACGCCGCGUGAGUGAUGAAGCCCUUCGGGGUGUAAAGCUCUUUCGGCCCGGACGAUAAUGACGGUACGGGAAGAAGAAGCUGCGGCUAACUACGUGCCAGCAGCCGCGGUAAUACGUAGGCAGCGAGCGUUGUUCGGAGUUACUGGGCGUAAAGCGUGCGUAGGCGGUGGUCCAAGUCUGGUGUGAAAUCUCCCGGCUCAACCGGGAGGGUGCGCCGGAAACUGGGCCGCUGGAGUGCCGGAGAGGCAAGCGGAAUUCCUGGUGUAGCGGUGAAAUGCGUAGAUAUCAGGAGGAACACCCGUGGUGUAGACGGCUUGCUGGACGGCAACUGACGCUGAGGCACGAAAGCGUGGGGAGCAAACAGGAUUAGAUACCCUAGUAGUCC